GUGGUCACCAGCCAAGCGGAAGUGCUUGUCGGGGCCAGUUCUUGUAAUGGUCUCUUCAGCAGCAAGCAGAAAAUCAGUUGACGAGAAAGACAGUGAGCUCAAUUUUCACAUAUCUCUGCCUUUUCCCAAGAACAGCAGGAAAUGGCCAAACCCCAGGGACUAGUGACAUUUGAGGAUGUGGCUGUGGAUUUCACCCAGGAGGAGUGGCAGUACCUGAACUCUCUGCAGAGGACCUUAUACCGAGAUGUGAUGCUAGAGACCUACAGCAACCUGGUCUCCGUGGGGCAACAGGUUUGCAAAGCAGACCUCAUCCUCAAGUUGGAGGUGGAAGAGCUAUGCCCAGCAGAAGACAGAAUUCCAAUUUGGAGCUUUCCAGAAGUCUGCCAAGUUGGUGAAAAGAUUGAGAGCCAGCAUCAGGAUGACCAAGAUCAAUGUCUCUUGAUGCAAGUUGGAUUCCCUGACAAGAAAAUAAUGACUACCAAGAAUGGCCACGAAUGUAAUGAAUUUGGAAACACUCUUCAUCUGAGUACAAGCCUUGGUAUUCCAAUACAAAGACCUCAUAAACUUGAAACAUUUGGAAAUGAUAUGGUAGAUAAUGUAGACUUAUUUAGAAGUGCUGUGGAAAAGAAACACGAUAAUGGGUGUGCAAAAUUAUUCUUCCAUACCGAGUUUGAGAAAUCAAAUCCUGUAGUGAAGCCCUAUGGAUAUAAAGGAUGCGGGAAAGUCCUCAGGCGAAAGAAGCCCUAUGGAUAUAAAGAAUGCGGGAAAGUCCUCAGGCGAAAGAAAGGUCUUAG
rnacentral:lncRNA from 1 species